rnacentral:rRNA from 1 species
GAUGAACGCUGGCGGCGUGCCUAAUACAUGCAAGUCGAGCGAACAGACGAGGAGCUUGCUCCUCUGACGUUAGCGGCAGACGGGUGAGUAACACGUGGAUAACCUACCUAUAAGACUGGGAUAACUUCGGGAAACCGGAGCUAAUACCGGAUAAUAUAUUGAACCGCAUGGUUCAAUAGUGAAAGACGGUUUUGCUGUCACUUAUAGAUGGAUCCGCGCCGCAUUAGCUAGUUGGUAAGGUAACGGCUUACCAAGGCAACGAUGCGUAGCCGACCUGAGAGGGUGAUCGGCCACACUGGAACUGAGACACGGUCCAGACUCCUACGGGAGGCAGCAGUAGGGAAUCUUCCGCAAUGGGCGAAAGCCUGACGGAGCAACGCCGCGUGAGUGAUGAAGGUCUUCGGAUCGUAAAACUCUGUUAUUAGGGAAGAACAAAUGUGUAAGUAACGAUGCACGUCUUGACGGUACCUAAUCAGAAAGCCACGGCUAACUACGUGC